CCCUUAGAUGUUCUGGGCUGCACGCGCGCUACACUGACACACGCAACGAGUCUCCUGCCCUGACAGGGUCGGGUAAUCAUUUGAGUGUGUGUCGUGAUGGGGAUAGAGUAUUCAAUUAUUGCUCUUGAACGAGGAAUUCCUAGUAAGCACAAGUCAGCAGCUUGUGCUGAUUACGUCCCUGCCCUUUGUACACACCGCCCGUCGCUCCUACCGAGGGGGUGAUCCGGUGAAUGAUUCGGACUCUGGUGCUUCUAGCUGCUAGAUGCGCCGGAGGAAGUUUUGUGAACCUUAUCACUUGGAGGAAGGAGAAGUCGUAACA
rnacentral:rRNA from 1 species